GUUGGCCACAAAUUUCAUGGUAAAAACAUCCAGUCGAAGAAUAAGAGGGCUACGGCAAAUAAUUUUGGCAUUAGUCAAGAAGAUGCUCAAAAAGUGCAGCCAAUGAAACAAGAAGGCCCAACCUUCACAACUGAGGAAUACAAUCAAAUUAUAGCCAUGUUGAACAAAAUGAAUGGUAAUGCCUUUGCAAAUGCCACAGGUAAACAAAAUUUGCCCACAACUUUAUAUUGGCUUAUAGAUAGUGGAGCCACAGAUCAUAUCUGUCAUUUACAACCUAUAAAUCCAAUUCAUCAACAUGAUUUCUUGAACUUACCUGAUGGUAGAACAGCACCAAUUAAUUCUAUUGGUUCCUACCAAUUAUCUAAAGAAUUGAAACUUGAUGGAGUGUUACAUGUGCCAAAAUUCAGGGUGAAUUUAUUGUCCAUAAGGAAACUUACUAAAGCGUUGAAUUUCACAGUAACUUUAUUUUUGAUUUUUUAUGUUAUUCAGGACGUGGACAAGAAGAGGAUGAUUGGCCUGGGCAAGCAAUAUAACGGCCUUUACUACCUUUC
rnacentral:lncRNA from 1 species